rnacentral:rRNA from 1 species
GCCAGCAGCCAUGUCAACCUGCAACUCACAACUGGCAAUCCAGUUGUGAAGCUAAGCAGGUGUGAGCCUGGUCAGUAUGGAGACCUCCUGAGAAAGCUAAGGUUGCUGCUGGAA